rnacentral:lncRNA from 10 species
AGGCACUCCUCUGGCCCCCCAGUGCUGCCCACAGCCCCGGGUUCUCUAAUGGCCAUUUGGGCCUGGAAUUAUCCAGCCACCACACCUGAGGGCCUCCCCACCUUUCCCAGAGGCCACUGGGACUGAUCUAUGACCUCUGUUACAAGAAAAGCCAUGUUAAUCUUUUCUGUAGUGCGUGCAGGCUGACUGGCUGGCUGGCCUGGUUUCUUUUCUUUCUGGUAACUUGACAAUCCUCAUGUCAUUCUGAGAGAUGGGGCUAACAUCUCCAUUUUGUAGGUGAAGAAAUCAGUCUGAAGAAGAUUCGUGACUUGCCCACGGUCAUGCAGUAACGCUGUGGCACAGCUGGGGCUGGACUGAAGCCAAGGACUUUUUUGACCUUUGAAGGGCACCAGGAGUGUCCUGCAGUGCCAGCUUGCCUGCUGCUUGUCACUCAAGCCACAUCCUAGUUGCAGGGGAACCUUCUAGGGAAAUGCUCCCCAUCAAACAGGGGCUCCUCAAGGGCAAAUCUAUUUUUUUCCUCAGACUUGGGACACCUGAGGGCAAAGACUAUGUCUCCAUCAUCAGGUUGGGAAGCUUCCUAAAGGUAAGAGGCAUAUCUUCUCCAUCAGACUAGGGGGCCUCAAAGACAAAGAUUGUGUUUUCUCUUCAAAUCGUCAGCUCCUUGAGGGUGGGGUGUGUAUCUCCACCCAGACCAGGGAUCUGGGGAUUCCUAGAUGCAAAGACCGGCUUCCACGAGUGGUUCUGAGGGGUAGAUACUGUGCUUUUCCUUUUCUUUCUUUCUUUUUUUUUUUUUUUUU